CGGCGUGCUUAACACAUGCAAGUCGAACGAAGCUUUUAAGACAGAUUUUUUCGGAAUGAUGUUUUAAAUGACUGAGUGGCGGACGGGUGAGUAACGCGUGGGCAACCUGCCCUGUACAGGGGGAUAACAGUCAGAAAUGACUGCUAAUACCGCAUAAGACCACAGUGCUGCAUGGCACAGUGGUAAAAACUCCGGUGGUACAGGAUGGGCCCGCGUCUGAUUAGCUGGUUGGUGAGGUAACGGCUCUACCAAGGCAACGAUCAGUAGCCGGCUUGAGAGAGUGGACGGCCACAUUGGGACUGAGACACGGCCCAAACUCCUACGGGAGGCAGCAGUGGGGAAUAUUGCACAAUGGGGGGAACCCUGAUGCAGCGACGCCGCGUGAGUGAAGAAGUAUCUCGGUAUGUAAAGCUCUAUCAGCAGGGAAGAAAAUGACGGUACCUGACUAAGAAGCCCCGGCUAACUACGUGCCAGCAGCCGCGGUAAUACGUAGGGGGCAAGCGUUAUCCGGAAUUACUGGGUGUAAAGGGUGCGUAGGUGGUGUGGCAAGUCAGAAGUGAAAACCCGGGGCUUAACUCCGGGAUUGCUUUUGAAACUGUCAGACUGGAGUGCAGGAGAGGUAAGCGGAAUUCCUAGUGUAGCGGUGAAAUGCGUAGAUAUUAGGAGGAACAUCAGUGGCGAAGGCGGCUUUACUGGACUGAAACUGACACUGGAGGCACGAAAGUGUGGGGAGCAAACAGGAUUAGAUACCCUGGUAGUCCACACCGUAAACGAUGAGCACUAGAUGUCGGGGCCGCAAGGUUUCGGUGUCGCAGUUAACGCAUUAAGUGCUCCGCCUGGGGAGUACGUACGCAAGUAUAAAACUCAAAGGAAUUGACGGGGACCCGCACAAGCAGCGGAGCAUGUGGUUUAAUUCGAAGCAACGCGAAGAACCUUACCAGGACUUGACAUCCCUCUGAAAGCCGUGAUAACGAUCGGCCCUCUUCGGACAGGGGUGACAGGUGGUGCAUGGUUGUCGUCAGCUCGUGUCGUGAGAUGUUGGGUUAAGUCCCGCAACGAGCGCAACCCUUAUCAUUAGUUGCCAGCAUUUAGUUGGGGACUCUAAUGAGACUGCCGGUGACAAACCGGAGGAAGGUGGGGAUGACGUCAAAUCAUCAUGCCCCUUAUGACCUGGGCUACACACGUGCUACAAUGGAUGGUACAGCGAGCAGCAACCCCGCGAGGGCAAGCGAAUCUCUCAAAGCCAUUCUCAGUUCGGAUCGUUCUCUGCAACUCGAGAGCGUGAAGCCGGAAUCGCUAGUAAUCGUGGAUCAGCACGCCACGGUGAAUACGUUCCCGGGUCUUG
rnacentral:rRNA from 1 species